UCCGAGUUGUCCCCGGCAGUCCUCUUAGAGUCCCCGACAUAACUCGCUGGCAACUAAGGACAGGGGUUGCGCUCGCUGCGGCACUUAAGCCAACACCUCACGGCACGAGCUGACGACAGCCAUGCAGCACCUGUGCUGGCCCCUUACGGAGCCCUGCUUUCACAGGGUUUAACCAGCAUGUCAAGCCCAGGUAAGGUUCUUCGCGUUGCAUCGAAUUAAGCCACAUGCUCCGCCGCUUGUGCGGGUCCCCGUCAAUUCCUUUGAGUUUUAGCCUUGCGGCCGUACUCCCCAGGCGGAGUGCUUAAUGCGUUAGCUGCGGCACGGAGAGGGUUGAAGACCCACCAAACCUAGUACCCAUCGUUUACGGCGUGGACUAC
rnacentral:misc_RNA from 1 species